GAUUAAAUAUAUAAAUGUUAAACAUGUUGGUGGAUUUUUAAUAAAAAAAAAUAAAAGUCUCCUCACAAGAUCUCCUCACCAGGUCUCCUUACCAACCAAUCGAUUUUGAUACAAAAUUAGUGAAUAUGUAAUUUGAAUGUCUCAAGAAAAAUACAUCACAUGUAUUUUAACACACUAGUAACAAGGCAGAAACUUACAUUCGUUAGUGAAAGAUGACAUUAAAAAAGCUGUCCGACUUGCAAUAUCUGUUAUUACUAACAAAGAAGCUUUUCAUCAUAAAGACAAUAGCAUAAUAUAAAUGUAUAAAAAUGUAUUUCUAUAUUAUUCCAAAUGUAAUAUUUUACUA